UACCGGAUAGGUCAUCUUUGCUGGAAGGCUUGGUGGCUGAAACGCGAGGCGGUUGGAUGGGUCUGCGGCUGAUUAGGUUGUUGCCGGUGUAAUGUACCGUCAAGCCUGUAAUCAGUACGGGUUGUGGGAGCAAGAGCCCGGAGAUGGAUUCUGAGACACGAAUCCAGGCCCUACGGGGCGCAGCAGGCGCGAAAACUCUACAAUGCAGGCAACUGCGAUAGGGGAACAUCGAGUGAUCCUCAUAUUGGGGGUCUGUCCACCCGCCUAAAAAGCGGGUGUUAGCAAGGGCCGGGCAAGACCGGUGCCAGCCGCCGCGGUAAUACCGGCGGCUCGAGUGGUGGCCGAUAUUAUUGAGUCUAAAGGGUCCGUAGCCGGCUUUGCAAGUCUCUCGGGAAAUCCAGCGGCUUAACCGUUGGUCGUCCGGGGGGUACUACAUUGCUUGGGACUGGGAGAGGCGAGAGGUACUCAGGGGGUAGGAGUGAAAUCCUGUAAUCCUCUGGGGACCACCGGUGGCGAAGGCGUCUCGCCAGAACAGGUCCGACGGUGAGGGACGAAAGCU
rnacentral:rRNA from 1 species